UAGCCCACACCUGUAUGCCGGCCAUUUAUU
rnacentral:piRNA from 1 species